rnacentral:lncRNA from 1 species
UGUUAAGUCAAGCAAUGCCUUUAGAUCUAAUUUCCUUUCCAUUAUAAUCUAUAACAGGGCAAUAUCGUGGUUCCUUCUGCUGUGCUCUCAAGCACGUAUAGUAUCUGCCAAACACAGCUCUCUGCCCAGAAAUGGAGUGAUGCUCUUGACUUUGCUGGGCUCUGUGGUGUCCCCAGGCUCAUUAGGAGGAAUUUCUGGUACUAGAGUUCU